GCCGGGCACGGUGGCAUGUGCCUGUAGUCCCAGCUACUCAGGAGUCUCAGACAGAAGGAUCACUUGAGUCCAGGAGUUCUGGGCUGUAGUGCACUAUGCCGAUAGGGUGUCUACACUAAGUUUGGCAUCAAUAUGGUGACCUCCUGGGAGCAGGGGACCACCAGAUUGCCUAAGGAGGGGUGAACUGGCCCAGGUUGGAAAUGGAGCAGGUCAAAGCUCCCUUGCUGAUCAGUAGUGAGAUAGUGCCUGUGAAUAGCCACUGCACUCCAGCCUGGGCAACAUAGUGAGACCCGGUCUCUU
rfam:Otolemur garnettii contig160687, whole genome shotgun sequence.